rnacentral:lncRNA from 1 species
CCCGCUCCCGCUCAGCUCCGGUCCCCGAGAUUCCCCAGGAGUGUGAUGGGCUCUGUUUCUGUCUCUCAGGGGAGGAGCUGGCCAAGGAGCUGGAGAGGCUGCAGUCGGACCAGGCCACGCUGAGAGCGGAAGUGUCCAGGGAUCUGGCCAAAGCGAAACAUGACAGAGAUGACAUCAGGGCCGAGACCUACAAAAUCCUGGAUGCCGCACAGAAAGGGAACGGCACUUCCCGGUGCCAGCCUGGCUGGGAGCAGUACCGAGGGAGGUGCUACCUUUUCUCCUCGUCUGCCCAGGGCUGGCCAGGGGCCAGAAGGUCCUGUUUGAGCCAGACUGCUGACCUGGUGG